rnacentral:snoRNA from 13 species
UGUUAUUUAUAAUGAUGAUAUUUUAGAGUAGGAAUCUCAUUGAGCUUCAGUCAUUCGUUGCCAUGAAAUUAAACAUCUCUAACUGAACUUUAUAAAU